rnacentral:rRNA from 1 species
GGGCCCGCACAAGCGGUGGAGCAUGUGGUUUAAUUCGAUGCAACGCGAAGAACCUUACCUGGUCUUGACAUACACAGAAUCUUGUAGAGAUACGAGAGUGCCUUCGGGAAUUGUGAUACAGGUGCUGCAUGGCUGUCGUCAGCUCGUGUCGUGAGAUGUUGGGUUAAGUCCCGCAACGAGCGCAACCCUUGUCCUUAGUUACCAGCGGGUUAAGCCGGGAACUCUAAGGAUACUGCCAGUGACAAACUGGAGGAAGGCGGGGACGACGUCAAGUCAUCAUGGCCCUUACGACCAGGGCUACACACGUGCUACAAUGGUAGGUACAGAGGGCGGCCAACUUGCGAAAGUGAGCGAAUCCCAAAAGUGCGUCGUAGUCCGGAUUGGAGUCUGCAACUCGACUCCAUGAAGUCGGAAUCGCUAGUAAUCG